UACAGAGGUCUCAAGCGUUGUUCGGAUUCAUUGGGCGUAAAGAGCUCGUAGGCGGUGUGUCGCGUCGGCCGUGAAAACCUGCAGCUUAACUGUGGGCUUGCGGUCGAUACGGGCAUCACUGGAGUUCGGCAGGGGAGACUGGAAUUCCUGGUGUAGCGGUGAAAUGCGCAGAUAUCAGGAGGAACACCGGUGGCGAAGGCGGUUCUCUGGGCCUGUACUGACGCUGAGGAGCGAAAGCGUGGGGAGCGAACAGGA
rnacentral:rRNA from 1 species